rnacentral:rRNA from 1 species
GAUGAACGCUAGCGGGAGGCCUAACACAUGCAAGCCGAGCGGUAUUGUUUCUUCGGAAAUGAGAGAGCGGCGUACGGGUGCGUAACACGUGUGCAACCUGCCUUUAUCUGGGGGAUAGCCUUCCGAAAGGAAGAUUAAUACUCCAUAAUAUAUUGAACGGCAUCGUUUAAUAUUGAAAGCUCCGGCGGAUAGAGAUGGGCACGCGCAAGAUUAGCUAGUUGGUGAGGUAACGGCUCACCAAGGCGAUGAUCUUUAGGGGGCCUGAGAGGGUGAUCCCCCACACUGGUACUGAGACACGGACCAGACUCCUACGGGAGGCAGCAGUGAGGAAUAUUGGUCAAUGGGUGCAAGCCUGAACCAGCCAUCCCGCGUGAAGGACGACUGCCCUAUGGGUUGUAAACUUCUUUUGUAUAGGGAUAAACCUACCCUCGUGAGAGUAGCUGAAGGUACUAUACGAAUAAGCACCGGCUAACUCCGUGCCAGCAGCCGCCGUAA